rnacentral:rRNA from 1 species
UACGAAGGGGGCUAGCGUUGCUCGGAAUCACUGGGCGUAAAGCGCACGUAGGCGGCUUUUUAAGUCAGGGGUGAAAUCCUGGAGCUCAACUCCAGAACUGCCUUUGAUACUGGGGAUCUCGAGUCCGGGAGAGGUGAGUGGAACUGCGAGUGUAGAGGUGAAAUUCGUAGAUAUUCGCAAGAACACCAGUGGCGAAGGCGGCUCACUGGCCCGGAACUGACGCUGAGGUGCGAAAGCGUGGGGAGCAAACAGG